CCUACGGGACGGCAGCAGUAGGGGAUCUCUCGGCAAUGGACGACAGUCUGACCGAGCAACGCCGCGUGAGUGAAGAAGGUUUUCGGAUCGUAAAACUCUGUUGUUAGAGAAGAACAAGGACGUUAGUAACUGAACGUCCCCUGACGGUAUCUAACCAGAAAGCCACGGCUAACUACGUGCCAGCAGCCGCGGUAAUACGUAGGUGGCAAGCGUUGUCCGGAUUUAUUGGGCGUAAAGCGAGCGCAGGCGGUUUCUUAAGUCUGAUGUGAAAGCCCCCGGCUCAACCGGGGAGGGUCAUUGGAAACUGGGAGACUUGAGUGCAGAAGAGGAGAGUGGAAUUCCAUGUGUAGCGGUGAAAUGCGUAGAUAUAUGGAGGAACACCAGUGGCGAAGGCGGCUCUCUGGUCUGUAACUGACGCUGAGGCUCGAAAGCGUGGGGAGCAAACAGGAUUAGAUACCCUGGUAGUCCACGCCGUAAACGAUGAGUGCUAAGUGUUGGAGGGUUUCCGCCCUUCAGUGCUGCAGCAAACGCAUAAGCACUCCGCCUGGGAGUAGAACGA
rnacentral:rRNA from 1 species